GACGAACGCUGGCGGCGUGCUUAACACAUGCAAGUCGAACGAUGAAGCCCUUCGGGGUGGAUUAGUGGCGAACGGGUGAGUAACACGUGGGCAAUCUGCCCUUCACUCUGGGACAAGCCCUGGAAACGGGGUCUAAUACCGGAUAACACUUACCUCCUCCUGGGGGUGGGUUAAAAGCUCCGGCGGUGAAGGAUGAGCCCGCGGCCUAUCAGCUUGUUGGUGGGGUAAUGGCCUACCAAGGCGACGACGGGUAGCCGGCCUGAGAGGGCGACCGGCCACACUGGGACUGAGACACGGCCCAGACUCCUACGGGAGGCAGCAGUGGGGAAUAUUGCACAAUGGCGAAAGCCUGAUGCAGCGACGCCGCGUGAGGGAUGACGGCCUC
rnacentral:rRNA from 1 species